UCCGGCAUCAAGGUAUGUGAGUGAUCCCUGGUAGCAGCCUCGGUCACAAAUUUCCAGCUACUGUGCUUCAUCCGGAGAUAAGAAGGCUCUGUAGGAGCUCUAUU